rnacentral:rRNA from 1 species
GCGGCGUGCUUAACACAUGCAAGUCGAACGGAAAGGCCCUGCUUUUGUGGGGUGCUCGAGUGGCGAACGGGUGAGUAACACGUGAGUAACCUGCCCUUGACUUUGGGAUAACUUCAGGAAACUGGGGCUAAUACCGGAUAGGAGCUCCUGCUGCAUGGUGGGGGUUGGAAAGUUUCGGCGGUUGGGGAUGGACUCGCGGCUUAUCAGCUUGUUGGUGGGGUAGUGGCUUACCAAGGCUUUGACGGGUAGCCGGCCUGAGAGGGUGACCGGCCACAUUGGGACUGAGAUACUGCCCAGACUCCUACGGGAGGCAGCAGUGGGGAAUAUUGCACAAUGGGCGGAAGCCUGAUGCAGCAACGCCGCGUGCGGGAUGACGGCCUUCGGGUUGUAAACCGCUUUCGCCUGUGACGAAGCGUGAGUGACGGUAAUGGGUAAAGAAGCACCGGCUAACUACGUGCCAGCAGCCGCGGUGAUACGUAGGGUGCGAGCGUUGUCCGGAUUUAUUGGGCGUAAAGGGCUCGUAGGUGGUUGAUCGCGUCGGAAGUGUAAUCUUGGGGCUUAACCCUGAGCGUGCUUUCGAUACGGGUUGACUUGAGGAAGGUAGGGGAGAAUGGAAUUCCUGGUGGAGCGGUGGAAUGCGCAGAUAUCAGGAGGAACACCAGUGGCGAAGGCGGUUCUCUGGGCCUUUCCUGACGCUGAGGAGCGAAAGCGUGGGGAGCGAACAGGCUUAGAUACCCUGGUAGUCCACGCUGUAAACGGUGGGUACUAGGUGUGGGGUCCAUUCCACGGGUUCCGUGCCGUAGCUAACGCUUUAAGUACCCCGCCUGGGGAGUACGGCCGCAAGGCUAAAACUCAAAGGAAUUGACGGGGCCCCGCACAAGCGGCGGAGCAUGCGGAUUAAUUCGAUGCAACGCGUAGAACCUUACCUGGGUUUGACAUGGAUCGGGAGUGCUCAGAGAUGGGUGUGCCUCUUUUGGGGUCGGUUCACAGGUGGUGCAUGGCUGUCGUCAGCUCGUGUCGUGAGAUGUUGGGUUAAGUCCCGCAACGAGCGCAACCCUUGUUCACUGUUGCCAGCACGUUAUGGUGGGGACUCAGUGGAGACCGCCGGGGUCAACUCGGAGGAAGGUGGGGAUGACGUCAAGUCGUCAUGCCCCUUAUGUCCAGGGCUUCACGCAUGCUACAAUGGCUGGUACAGAGAGUGGCGAGCCAGUGAGGGUGAGCGAAUCUCGGAAAGCCGGUCUCAGUUCGGAUUGGGGUCUGCAACUCGACCUCAUGAAGUCGGAGUCGCUAGUAAUCGCAGAUCAGCAACGCUGCGGUGAAUACGUUCCCGGGGCUUGUACACACCGCCCGUCAAGUCAUGAAAGUUGGUAACACCCGAAGCCGGUGGCCUAACCGUUGUGGGGGAGCCGUCGAAGGUGGGACUGGUGAUUAGGACU